UUGCUUAGAACUGCUAAAAACAUAUCUAGCUAGUGAAAUUUAUACAAGACAAACCUAGAAAAUAAAACUGGAAGGGGUAAUAUUGACUUUCUCAGCACUACUUUGUGAUUUAAGUAGUCAAGAAAAAAAAUCAAUCUAUGUGCCAUCUAACUUAUCUUAUUCCAUAAAUAAACCUCUUUAAUGAUGAUAACAUGCUUUAUGAAAUGCGCAACCCUGAUUACCACGCAUUAUUCUUCCUUGGAUGGCUGAUUUUUUCUUCUUUCUAUUUAAAUUACCAUUUUUGUAGAAAAAAUGUUAAACCUUAUAAUUUUUUAUCCAGAUAGUCCAGUUUCCCAUGGAAGAUUGUGGACAGGAUUUCCGUCUAAAAGGUACAACUCGAUCGAUGCUGUCAACAAAUUUAGUUUUAAAUAAAUUAAAUGUUACGUA